AAACGUAUUGAACGACCUUGGCAAUACCAGCAAAACUUAGCUAGGUCCAACAGUAGCUCCUCUGAUGGUUCCAGCCUUACGCCACUAGUGAAAGC
rnacentral:lncRNA from 1 species